UGGGAGGAAUGAUGAUGUCACGCAGCUGGGGAUGACGUGUCAGGUGACGUCAUUCCCGGAUGUUCUGCAGAUUGAGGGGAAACGGCGGAGGGAGACUCGGGCCAUGGAGGAGGAGGAGGAACGGGAGGUGGUGCGGGUCCGGGUCCGGAAAUGUGAGGGCAUCCUGCAGCCAGAGUCUCGCUCCUUCGCAGUGGACCCCCAGAUCACCUCUUUGGAUGUGCUUCAGCAUAUACUGAUCCGGGCCUUCGAUCUCAACGGGAAGAACUUUGGGAUCAGUUACCUGGGCCGCGAUAAACAGGGGCACGAGAUGUACCUUUCCCUGAUGUCAGACUGGGACCUGGGAACCGCAUUCGCCAGCGCUUCCAAACCGUACCUGCAGCUGAAGCUGGACAUCAAGCCGUCCGAGGACAGCCCACUGCUGGAAGACUGGGACAUUAUCAGCCCAAAGGAUGUCAUUGGGACAGACUUAUUUCUUGUGGACAAGCGGACACUCACUGCAGCACUGCCCUUCACUCAGUCCCUCCUGACUCAGGUGGGCCGUACCAUUUCCAAGAUGCAGCAGGCCCUGAACUGGUCUUAUGGAGAAGAUGUGAAGCCCUUUAAACCACCGCUCAGCGACGUGGAGUUCCACACCUUCCUGAGCCACGAGGGACAGCUGACCCGUCCCGAGGAGCUUCGUCUGCGCAUAUACCAUGGCGGGGUGGAGCCUUCUCUGAGAAAGGUGGUCUGGAGAUACCUGCUGAAUGUAUACCCGGACGGCCUAAGUGGACAAGAGCGCAUGGACUAUAUGAAGUAUAAAACCCGAGAGUAUUACCAGCUGAAGAGUGAGUGGAGGGAGCGGUGCAGCCAAGAGGACUUAGAGUUUAUCCAGGGCAAUGUCAUGAAGGACGUCCUACGUACAGACCGCACACACCCUUAUUAUGCGGGCUCUGAGGAUAACCCCCACCUGCAGGCUCUGCAUGACCUGCUAACCACGUAUGCCGUUACCCACCCUCAGGUGUCUUACUGUCAGGGCAUGAGUGACAUCGCGUCCCCCAUCCUGGCCGUGAUGGACAACGAGGCCCACGCCUUCAUCUGUUUCUGUGGCAUUAUGAAGAGGCUGGAGGGCAACUUCCGCAUGGACGGGGAAUGCAUGUCCGUGAAGUUCUCCCACCUCAAACUUCUUCUGCGUUACUCUGAUCCAGAAUUCAACUCCUACCUGAUGUCUCGCGGCGCGGACGAUCUCUUCUUCUGCUACCGUUGGCUGCUUCUAGAACUCAAGAGGGAGUUUGCGUUUGAGGAUGCUCUGAGGAUGCUAGAGGUGAUGUGGAGCUCGUUACCCCCCGAUCCCCCGGAGAAAGAGGUGGAGUUGAUCGGACCGCCAUGUGCCCCGGGAGAAUGCCCAAAGAACACCCGGAGGCGGCACAUGAUGCGUCCAGACCGAGGCCUGAGCCCAGAGGGGGAGGAGGAGGCGCCUGAAGGGCUGGAGAAAGAGCAACCCCAGGCAAAGAUGGAAGAAGAAGAGCCUGUGGCACAGCAGGGACCGACAGCCUUAAGGGGUCCCUUGUUGAAACAGGCGAGCUUCGGGGAAUUUACGUGUUAUGGUGCAAACAAGUGCGGGUCAAGUUUUGAGUCUGAGGAUCAGCCGGCGAGUCCGGUCCUUCAGGUUCCGCAAACCACAGAGGAGGAUGACGAGGAACGGUUCUGGGAGAAGGAGCCACUCAUCAAGCCACCUGACUCUUUGGGGGUUUCCAAAUCCCUGUCUGCUCCUUCACUGACCUUUUGCACUCCCACGUCACAGAGCCCAACAUCUCUUGAUACAAUGGAUGACCUUGAGCCGUCCUCUGCUGCUAAGGAUGACGAAGAGGCCCAACUGGAAGCUGAGCAGACUGCGGCCAGUUCUCCGGCCCCUAUCAGCUUACCCCCACCACAAGAGUUUGGGCGCGGGAACCCGUUCAUGCUGUUUUUAUGCCUUUCCAUUCUGUUGGAGCACCGAGAGCAGAUCAUAAAACAAAACAUGGGCUAUGACGAGCUGGCGAUGCACUUUAACCGCUUGGUCAGAAGGCACAACCUCAACCGCGUGCUUCACCGCGCCAAAGCUCUCUUUGCUGACUAUCUACAGUCUAAAGUGUGGGAUUCAGAGGAGGGAGAUGAGGCUUCUGCAGAAUCACCUUCCACCUCCUGACCCUCCGUCUGGCCACCUUCUCUAAUCCUGCAGCUGGUCGGCCACCCAGAAAAUUGUGCAAUGAGGUGACUAUUCGCCACUCAGGACCGGUUUUGAAGAUUAACAUAUGAAACAUUAAAAUUUGCUGGAAUCAUUACAACAAAAUUAGAUCAAAACAAUGACUUUAGGGGUUAAAUAGCUUUUUAGAAAUCUCCCGACAACUCCAGGGUUCUUACAGGGAGACCUUCUGGGUGAUCUCGAAGCAGAAAGUGGCGUCAGAUCUUCACAGAAGAAUUUACUUCCCACACUUCCGCCACCGAACUCUAAACUGAGCGCAGCAGGACGGUGACUUAAUAUUUUAUUGCCAAGGCACGUUUUUAUUGGAUGGAGUAGGGUUUAAGACUUGAAUCGAUUGCUAACGACCACAUGAAGCCCUCGGUGCCGACCUGAUGCUGACAACGCGAUACUUACACAACAGGAUACAUACAAGAGGUCCAUUACUUUCAAGUGGAACACUAUCCAGUAUCUCCGGAAAUCCCACAGGGGUCUCGGAAGUCCUGUCCUCCACCCCCCAGGUCAAUGUUUAUUUAAUUCCAGCGUUUUAUUUGCACACGGGCGUUGUGCCUUUUAUUUAUUUGUGUUUAGUCUGGUUUUUGUACUUUUUAUGUCUACAUGUAUACCGUAAUAAUUUGUUUAUUAUGCUGUUAUUGGUUCAUGCCAAAGAAAGCUUCCUAGAUACAUGUAACAAGGUGCGGGAUUCAGCCAGCAGGUGUGUUACCUGUAAGCAAAGUUUAUUUCCUUUAAACGUGCCAGGUUUUCAGGAUAUCCCUGCCUUAUAACAUUAGUGAUGGUGACAAUAUUGGACAUAUAGGUGUUUCCUUACACAUUGGGUGGAUCAAAGAUGGACGUCGUCUUGUCAAGCUCCAGGAUAGCGCUUAGUACCAAAAGAAACAGGGUCUGUUUACAUAUUCAUUUGUCGACUACAGGGAAUUGCUGUAACCGUAGCUGUACUUACCAGGGGACACUAAACGUAUUUAUUUCCACAGUGAGAACAGUUCCCAGUCCGAGCUUUGAUCGACAAAUGUUAGCUGGUAUCUACAGAUCUUUGGUCCAUAAGCCUUUAAAUGACACCUAGAUUUUCUCGUAUAGUGCUGAGUGUUGCAUUGUUUCUGUUCCGUUACUCUAAGCACAUUGGGGCAUCACAGUCAUUGUGAAGAACAAGCAGAGGUAGAUAUGGGUUUAUUAAGUAUGAACUCUAAAGGAAAACUUUAAAGCGGAAAAAUAAAAGUUUGAAAUGAUAAUUUCGGCACCCCGUUCACCUAAUCGGAGAGGACCUAACAGUCUGAUGGGGGUGGAGAGUGAAACGCGGCCGUUUUAUAGGCAACGAAACGCGUACGUUUAUUUAAUUUUUUUAAAUUUGUCCCUGCCAAAAGCUUUAUUCGUUUAAUAAUAUUCUGACGAGUGGUCCCUGCCCGUGAGUGCUUUCAGUAACAGGCCAGUGAGCUUUGUAACCUGUGCUUAAUGGACAUCCGAACACUCUGCAUUAUAGGGAAAUAAGUGUUCGUUUAAAUACGUCUCCAUUAGACCGCCAGGCUUGCAAGGAUUGCUAGUGGUUAUAUUUUACAUUUUCAGUGUUUUACUGCCCACCAGGUUUUGUGUCUAGGGACUCUCAAACUCCCUAACUCUUUUACCUCCAACUUAUUUCAAUAAAAAGUAGAAAAACUUUGGUACUCCGGACGCUGCACGCCUUACAGGGAAAUGCACAUGAGAUAUAAGCUCUGUUUUUGUGAUCUUAUAAUGUAAAUAAAUCUUACUGAGGCCUAAAA